rnacentral:lncRNA from 1 species
AUUCAUGCUCGAACACACACGCCCACCUCAGACAUGCCACACACAUAAAAACAUCAUACCGCAUUGUUGAAGAAAUCAGUAGAAUCAUCCUAUACUUUAGACAAUGGGUGUGCCAUAUUUCCUUUGUGGUUCCACGUAAGAGUAGCUGCAAACUUUGUUUUGAGGACACAACCCCGGUGUGAAAACCCAGAUUGAGCAUGGUUUGAACUGCAGGCAGUGGAAACUACACCGGCCGACCACACCACUGAGCUAUAAGAUUUCUUGAUACCUCCCAAGCCUACUGCUCUAUGUAGUUACAUCAUACAUGAUAGCUUAGCUGCAUGGAGAACAACCUUUGGCAUUCAUCAACUCAUGAUAUAUAGCUAGUGAUUUUUGGACAUUGUAUGGUUUUCAGUUUUGAUACUACUAAGAACGCUGGAGGCAGAAAGAUAUCAUCUAGCAGUCUACUAUGUAUGCAUGGUAUGCAUCCCUUUAAAAUGUGCUCCUCAAUUUCACUUUAGGCCAAACAAAGCAAAUAAAUUUUAGGAUCAAAUACAACCAUCACUCUGUUGCGACUACGUUACGUAGUACUCCC